rnacentral:rRNA from 1 species
AAAAACAUCGCCUCUUGCUCAACCAUAAGAGGUCUCGCCUGCCCAGUGAUAAUAUUCAACGGCCGCGGUACCCUAACCGUGCGAAGGUAGCACAAUCACUUGUUCUUUAAAUAAGGACCAGUAUCAACGGCAUCACGAGAACUUUACUGUCUCCCCCCCCCAAUCAGUGAAACUGAUCCCCCCGUGAAGAAGCGGGGAUACUAAUAUAAGACGAGAAGACCCCAUGGAGCUUCAAGCUCACAGUAAUUCAACGGCAAUACUUCCUACAACCUUCUGAUAUAUACUAGCAAGCUUUAGGUUGGGGCGACCAUGGAGCACAACUUAACCUCCACGAUGUUUUAUUUACUUACCCAUGAACUACUAAUCUAAGGACUUUUAAAACUACCUUAUGACCCAAUUUUUGAUCAACGAACCAAGUUACCCUGGGGAUAACAGCGCAAUCCAUUUUAAGAGCUCAUAUCAACAAAUGGGUUUACGACCUCGAUGUUGGAUCAGGAUAUCCCAGUGGUGCAGCCGCUACCAAAGGUUCGUUUGUUCAACGAUUAAAAUCCUACGUGAUCUG